CAGGUGUCAGGAGGAAUUGCUCUGACUGCUAGAUGACAGACAGGGAACAAACAGACUUAUUCGGACUGCUGACUAAUGAGAUGGAUGACUCUGAAGACUUUUAGUCCAGCAUUUGCUGGCUCUUGCACUCAAAAGAAGGUUGUGUUCUCCUUGGACAUCCAAGUAAACCACAUGGUCAUCCGUAAGAUAGGAGAGAGACUAAAGGUUAAAUUCCAUCAUUUCUAACAGGCACUCCCGAUUGGUUCCUAUUGAGGCAGAAAGACAGAUCACAGACUGCAGACAGACGGACAAACAUGGACGCCCCCUCCUUGCUGCUCUGCCCUCUUCUCAUCCUCCUGUACUGCCUUCCUUCCUGCCUCUCCGACAUGCUUUGCCCAAAACGAUGCACCUGCCAGAACCUGCUGCCAUCCUACACGGUGCUCUGUGCCAAGACGGGCCUGCUCUUUGUCCCGCCCAACAUUGAUCGGCAGACAGCUGAGCUCCGGCUGAUGGACAACUUCAUCACCACACUGAGGCACCGGGACUUUGCCAACAUGACCAGCCUGAUCCACCUAACCUUGAGCCGAAACACGAUCAGCCAGAUCAGGCCAUACACCUUUGCAGACCUGCAAGACCUCCAUGCCCUUCACCUGGAUGCUAACCGCCUCACUGUUCUGGACGACUCACACUUCCAGGGCCUGGUGAACCUGAGGCACUUGAUUCUAGCCAACAACCAGCUGCACAGCAUAUCAGAGGGGGCCUUUCAGGACUUCCUGGAGACCCUGGAGGACCUGGACCUGAGUUACAACAACCUGGUGGACAUCCCCUGGGACACCAUUGCUCUGCUGGUCAGCGUCAACACCCUGAGCCUGGACCACAACCUGAUUGAGAGCGUCCCUGAGGGAAUCUUCUCUAAUCUCCACAAACUGGCCAGACUGGAUAUGACAUCCAACAAGCUGAAAAAAAUACCUCCAGACCCCUUGUUCCUCCGGAUCCCGGUCUACGCCAAGAUGAAGGGUUCUCCUCUCACAGCGUUGGUGUUGAGUUUCGGGGGGAACCCUCUUCACUGUAACUGUGAGCUGGUGUGGCUUCGAAGGCUGACCAGAGAGGACGACCUGGAGACCUGUGCCUCACCCAAGGAUCUGGCCGGCAAAUACUUCUGGACCAUACGAGAGGAAGAAUUUGUCUGUGAGCCACCCAUGAUCACUCGUCACACCUCUAAGAUGUUUGUGAUGGAGGGUCAGGAAGUCAGCCUCCGCUGUAAGUCCAUUGGGGAUCCAGAACCAUCCACACACUGGGUCAGCCCUGACGGAAAGCUGAUCGGAAACACUUCCAGAACCGUUUGCUAUGAGAACGGGUCACUUGACAUCCUGAAGGCCUCAGUUAAGGAUUCUGGAAAGUUUACCUGCAUAGCAUCAAAUGCUGCCGGUGAGGCCACUGCUCCCGUUGAAUUAGUUGUCAACCCUUCUCCACACUUUGACCCCAAACUGGACCCUGACCCAGGGCCCUCAGACAUCCCAACAUCCAUAAAAUCUAACGUCAGCGGAGGCCAGCCCAGGUCCGACCAGCAGAGGGUCAGCGUUUCGGACGUUACCUCCAGCUCUGCCAUUAUCAGGUGGCCGCCUCAGAACCACAUACCAGGGGUUCGCAUGUACCAGAUCCAGUAUAACAGCUCCACCGAUGAUAUCCUGAUAUACAGGAUGAUUCCAGCAAAUCACAAGUAUUUCUUGCUCAGUGACCUGGCAUCGUCACGGGAUUAUGAGCUGUGUGUUCUGGCUGUUUACGAUGAUGGCAUCACCACCCUGACGGGAACUAAGCUGGUGGGCUGUGUGUCCUUCGUCACAGACUCAGAGUACGGACGCUGCCACUCUAUACGAGAUCAGUUCUUGGGCGGCACCAUGAUCAUUAUCAUCGGUGGGAUCAUUGUGGCCUCUGUGCUCGUCUUCAUCUUCAUCCUCCUCAUGAAGUACAAGCUCCACAGUAACCACUACAAGCAGAAGGCUGCAACGCGCCAAGCCAACGUCUGUUCGCAGACCAAUGGUGGUGGAGGAGGAGGUGGAGCAAACAUCCUAGCUCUGCCUCCAUCCUCCUCAGCAGGGCAAGGCACUAAUAAAAACUGUCAGCCAUCCUCAUCAGUAGAUGGAGCAGCUUCUCUCAGAGGGACCACUGUGGUGGACUUGAACCCUGCUCAUAAUGAUGACACCAUCUCCCAAUAACACAGAAGGAACUGUUGAUCCCCCUCCUCCCCCCAAUAAACACACCCAGCAAACUCCAGAACCAACACCUCCCCAUGCCACUCCAAACUCUUCUUUUUUUUUCCUUUCUCUUUUUGCUCGUGCCUGGAGUCCAACUGGACUUUCCUUCAGGGAGCAACUCUAGUCAUUGAUUUACCCACUCUUUGCAUCAGUGCUGGAGAGAGAGGAGGAGGAAGAGGUGCUCUCUGGAUUCUAUCAUCACCUUCAGGGAAACGUGAAGAACCUUUGAGCAGAUAAAACGAGCCUAUCCAACUUGUGGACGUUUAGACGGAUGUCCGCCCCUGGCUAUGUUCUGUCCUUUGGAUCAGAGGACUUUCUGAUGGUCAGUGCUGACCAAGGAGAGCUCUGCACAACGUGUGUUGGAUUCAGACUCUGGGUGUGACCGUUGGAAUCCAAACAUGAUUAGCACCUGGAAGGCCUCUGUGACCAUCAGUAAAACUUUUCAAGAUGUUCUCAGAUGUUGAUGGCACCUCUCAUAUCCUCUCCUCAUUAAACAGUCAUAUGCCAAAGGGUUACAACAAUGCAUUAUGACAUUAUUUGUAGAAAUCUCUGACUUAUGAAAGCACACCUUUUAUUUUAUUUACCCUGUGUCAGGCCUUGGACUAAGAAACAAGCACACUGUCAACAUCGUCUCAAUGCAUUGAUAAUAAUACUCAGUCGAUGUAAAGUUGAACUUCUAUGGCACUUUAAACAAGUUUUCAUUUCAUCUCUGCCCUCUCUUCACACUCUCCCUGUUUAAGGAACAAAAAAUCAAGUUUUUUUGUUAUGGAUGUGGAAGAUAAUGUUGAAAUAAUUGAUAUGUUUGUAUCCAUGGUGGGUUGGUUCUCUCAAUGUUGGAGUAAAAGAAAAUAUCAAGUUUUUGUUUCCCGAAGAUGAAGCCUUGAGGAGCUCAAAAAAUAAGCAUAAAGCACACGUAAAACUGCACAAACCGGAAAUGUUGAACUUGAACAAUGAUGUUUCAGUUGAUGGCAGUAUUGGGGGGUCGAUGUAUGAAGGGGUUUUAAAAGAUGGUGGGAGAACCCGCGUUGUCUCCUCCUUCCCUUCCUCUCUCCUUUUGCUGUUUGACAGUGUCUGUGUUUGUAUGUGACAUACACCUAACAGUCUUCGAUGAUUUGAUAACCAUAAUUUAAUUUGAAUAUAACAAAACAAACAAAAACAACAAAAAAAACACAGUAACAUGUAAAAUGGGAAUUUUAUGCUUUCAUAGACACAAAUAUGUGGAUUUAUAAUAAAAUAAAAAG